rnacentral:rRNA from 9 species
CGCGACCCCAGGUCAGGCGGGACUACCCGCUGAGUUUAAGCAUAUCAAUAAGCGGAGGAAAAGAAACUUACCAGGAUUCCCCUAGUAACGGCGAGCGAACCGGG